AAGCAGAACAAUUCAUUGAUAGUGUCACGGUUUGAUCCAGCUCGAUGGCGAGCUCCUCUGCCCUCCCUGAGCCCGGUGAUGAUUUGUACGGUUAGUCUUCCCUGCACGGUGGUGGGCGAAGGAGGUGUACGUCUCUGCAAGUUUGUUGUGCCUCCCUCAGGUUCCGUGAUGGCCGACGGCGAGGUGCCCACCGGUGAGCUUUUUUUCCUUGGUUGCCUUUCUAUUAUUGUGAUUCGGUUUGUGAUGCUCUGCUGCUCAUCUAGGUUGAUGGUGGAGCUGUGAUCCAAAGUUGGAGCGUGCCCUUUCGUUGGUGCCGUCAUUCUCUCCUCCACGACCAUCGUUGUCACGAGCCUAAGUAGCUUGGUUGGGUAUCGACGGCGUUGGUGGACCUAAUAG
rnacentral:lncRNA from 1 species